AGUGAACGCUGGCGGUAGGCCUAACACAUGCAAGUCGAACGGCAGCACAGUAAGAGCUUGCUCUUACGGGUGGCGAGUGGCGGACGGGUGAGGAAUACAUCGGAAUCUACUUUUUCGUGGGGGAUAACGUAGGGAAACUUACGCUAAUACCGCAUACGACCUACGGGUGAAAGCAGGGGAUCUUCGGACCUUGCGCGAUCGAAUGAGCCGAUGUCGGAUUAGCUAGUUGGCGGGGUAAAGGCCCACCAAGGCGACGAUCCGUAGCUGGUCUGAGAGGAUGAUCAGCCACACUGGAACUGAGACACGGUCCAGACUCCUACGGGAGGCAGCAGUGGGGAAUAUUGGACAAUGGGCGCAAGCCUGAUCCAGCCAUACCGCGUGGGUGAAGAAGGCCUUCGGGUUGUAAAGCCCUUUUGUUGGGAAAGAAAAGCGGCAGGUUAAUACCCCGCUGUUCUGACGGUACCCAAAGAAUAAGCACCGGCUAACUUCGUG
rnacentral:rRNA from 1 species